UUGUGAGGUUAAGCGACUAAGCGUACACGGUGGAUGCCCUGGCAGUCAGAGGCGAUGAAGGACGUGCUAAUCUGCGAUAAGCGUCGGUGAGGUGAUAUGAACCGUUAUAACCGGCGAUUUCCGAAUGGGGAAACCCAGUGUGUUUCGACACACUAUCAUUAACUGAAUCCAUAGGUUAAUGAGGCGAACCGGGGGAACUGAAACAUCUAAGUACCCCGAGGAAAAGAAAUCAACCGAGAUUCCCCCAGUAGCGGCGAGCGAACGGGGAGGAGCCCAGAGCCUGAAUCAGUGUGUGUGUUAGUGGAAGCGUCUGGAAAGGCGCGCGAUACAGGGUGACAGCCCCGUACACAAAAAUGCACAUAUUGUGAGCUCGAUGAGUAGGGCGGGACACGUGGUAUCCUGUCUGAAUAUGGGGGGACCAUCCUCCAAGGCUAAAUACUCCUGACUGACCGAUAGUGAACCAGUACCGUGAGGGAAAGGCGAAAAGAACCCCGGCGAGGGGAGUGAAAAAGAACCUGAAACCGUGUACGUACAAGCAGUGGGAGCCUCUUAAUGGGGUGACUGCGUACCUUUUGUAUAAUGGGUCAGCGACUUAUAUUCUGUAGCAAGGUUAACCGAAUAGGGGAGCCGAAGGGAAACCGAGUCUUAACUGGGCGUUAAGUUGCAGGGUAUAGACCCGAAACCCGGUGAUCUAGCCAUGGGCAGGUUGAAGGUUGGGUAACACUAACUGGAGGACCGAACCGACUAAUGUUGAAAAAUUAGCGGAUGACUUGUGGCUGGGGGUGAAAGGCCAAUCAAACCGGGAGAUAGCUGGUUCUCCCCGAAAGCUAUUUAGGUAGCGCCUCGUGAAUUCAUCUCCGGGGGUAGAGCACUGUUUCGGCAAGGGGGUCAUCCCGACUUACCAACCCGAUGCAAACUGCGAAUACCGGAGAAUGUUAUCACGGGAGACACACGGCGGGUGCUAACGUCCGUCGUGAAGAGGGAAACAACCCAGACCGCCAGCUAAGGUCCCAAAGUCAUGGUUAAGUGGGAAACGAUGUGGGAAGGCCCAGACAGCCAGGAUGUUGGCUUAGAAGCAGCCAUCAUUUAAAGAAAGCGUAAUAGCUCACUGGUCGAGUCGGCCUGCGCGGAAGAUGUAACGGGGCUAAACCAUGCACCGAAGCUGCGGCAGCGACGCUUAUGCGUUGUUGGGUAGGGGAGCGUUCUGUAAGCCUGUGAAGGUGUGCUGUGAGGCAUGCUGGAGGUAUCAGAAGUGCGAAUGCUGACAUAAGUAACGAUAAAGCGGGUGAAAAGCCCGCUCGCCGGAAGACCAAGGGUUCCUGUCCAACGUUAAUCGGGGCAGGGUGAGUCGACCCCUAAGGCGAGGCCGAAAGGCGUAGUCGAUGGGAAACAGGUUAAUAUUCCUGUACUUGGUGUUACUGCGAAGGGGGGACGGAGAAGGCUAUGUUGGCCGGGCGACGGUUGUCCCGGUUUAAGCGUGUAGGCUGGUUUUCCAGGCAAAUCCGGAAAACCAAGGCUGAGGCGUGAUGACGAGGCACUACGGUGCUGAAGCAACAAAUGCCCUGCUUCCAGGAAAAGCCUCUAAGCAUCAGGUAACAUCAAAUCGUACCCCAAACCGACACAGGUGGUCAGGUAGAGAAUACCAAGGCGCUUGAGAGAACUCGGGUGAAGGAACUAGGCAAAAUGGUGCCGUAACUUCGGGAGAAGGCACGCUGAUAUGUAGGUGAAGCGACUAGCUCGUGGAGCUGAAAUCAGUCGAAGAUACCAGCUGGCUGCAACUGUUUAUUAAAAACACAGCACUGUGCAAACACGAAAGUGGACGUAUACGGUGUGACGCCUGCCCGGUGCCGGAAGGUUAAUUGAUGGGGUUAGCGGCAACGCGAAGCUCUUGAUCGAAGCCCCGGUAAACGGCGGCCGUAACUAUAACGGUCCUAAGGUAGCGAAAUUCCUUGUCGGGUAAGUUCCGACCUGCACGAAUGGCGUAAUGAUGGCCAGGCUGUCUCCACCCGAGACUCAGUGAAAUUGAACUCGCUGUGAAGAUGCAGUGUACCCGCGGCAAGACGGAAAGACCCCGUGAACCUUUACUAUAGCUUGACACUGAACAUUGAGCCUUGAUGUGUAGGAUAGGUGGGAGGCUUUGAAGUGUGGACGCCAGUCUGCAUGGAGCCGACCUUGAAAUACCACCCUUUAAUGUUUGAUGUUCUAACGUUGGCCCGUAAUC
rnacentral:rRNA from 1 species